rnacentral:rRNA from 1 species
UACGGAGGGUGCAAGCGUUUGUCCGGAAUCACUGGGCGUAAAGGGCGCGUAGGCGGCUCAUGAAGGCUGUGGUGAAAGUCCGGGGCUCAACCUCGGAUCGGCCGUGGCGACUCGUGGGCUGGAGCACUGUAGAGGCGGGUGGAAUUCCGGGUGUAGCGGUGGAAUGCGUAGAGAUCCGGAAGAACACCAGUGGCGAAGGCGGCCCCGCUGGGCAGUGGCUGACGCUGAGGCGCGACAGCGUGGGGAGCAAACAGG